GGGAAGAAGCGCAAGUGACGGUACCUGCAGAAGAAGCACCGGCUAACUACGUGCCAGCAGCCGCGGUAAUACGUAGGGUGCGAGCGUUGUCCGGAAUUAUUGGGCGUAAAGAGCUUGUAGGCGGUUUGUCGCGUCUGCCGUGAAAAUUCGAGGCUCAACCUCGAACUUGCGGUGGGUACGGGCAGACUAGAGUGUGGUAGGGGAGACUGGAAUUCCUGGUGUAGCGGUGAAAUGCGCAGAUAUCAGGAGGAACACCGAUGGCGAAGGCAGGUCUCUGGGCCACUACUGACGCUGAGAAGCGAAAGCAUGGGGAGCGAACAGGAUUAGAUACCCUGGUAGUCCAUGCCGUAAACGUUGGGAACUAGGUGUGGGUCUCAUUCCACGAGAUCCGUGCCGCAGCUAACGCAUUAAGUUCCCCGCCUGGGGAGUACGGCCGCAAGGCUAAAACUCAAAGGA
rnacentral:rRNA from 1 species